AACGAACGCUGGCGGCAGGCCUAACACAUGCAAGUCGAGCGCGCACUCCGGGGGGAGCGGCGGACGGGUGAGUAAGGGGUGGGAACGUGCCCUUUUCUACGGACUAGCUUCGGGAAACUGAGAGUAAUACCGCAUAGGCCCUAUGGGGGCAGGAUUUCUCGGAAUAGGAGGGGCCCGCGUUGGAUUAGGUGGUUGGGGGGGUAAUCGCCUACCAAGCCGAGGAUUCAUAGCUGGUUUGAGAGGCUGCUCCGCCACGCUGGGACUGAGACCCGGCCCCGACUCCUACGGAACGGAGCAGUGGUGAACCUUAGACGCUGGGGCCAACCCUGAUCUAGCCAUGCCGCGUGAGUGAUGAAGGCCUUAGGGUUGUAAUGCUCUUUCAGCUGGGAAGAUAAUGACGGUACCAGCAGAAGAAGCCCCGGCUAACUCCGUG
rnacentral:rRNA from 1 species